rnacentral:tRNA from 1 species
UAGCUCAGUUGGUAAAGAAUCUGCCUGCAAUGCAGGAGAUCAGGGUUCAAUCCCUG